rnacentral:tRNA from 1 species
CAUGAGAGAGCUUGUAGCAUCGAGCUUUUAACUCGAAGAAAAUAACUUUAACUAUUUCUCAUGA